rnacentral:rRNA from 1 species
UACAGAGGUCUCGAGCGUUAGGCGGAAUCACUGGGCUUACAGCGUGUGUAGGUGGAUCGUUAAGUACCUUGUGAAAUCCCACGGCUUAACCGUGGAACUGCUUGGUAUACUGGCGGUCUUGAGCCAGCUAGGGGCUACCGGAACAAAUGGUGGAGCGGUGAAAUGCGUAGAUAUCAGGAGGAACACCUGUGGCGAAAGCGGCGCACUGGACCACAACUGACGCUGAGGCGCGAAAGCUAGGGGAGCAAACAGG